GCAUGAAGAAAGGCGGUGCUCUUUCUUCAGACGGAUUUCCGCCACAGAAUCCCAUUGACUUCAAUGGGACUCUCAUUUCCUGGCGGAUUUUUUUUUGAACGCGGAACGUAGGCAGAUUGCAAGCGGAUUACAUGCGGAAAAUUCGGAAGGAUUUGAGUCAGAAAUUUAAAUAGGAUCAGCCCACUGGUUCUUGGACUAGCCCACAUUCUUCCUUUUAAAUACACCCCAUAUCCAGUUUGCAAUCUCCAUUUUCCUUUUUGGUCAAGGAGCUGUGCUUUUUCUUGUGGCUUGGUGUUUGGCUUCCUUUCAGCUUUUUCUCCACAUUAAUUUAAUAUAAUGUCGGAUCUGGCUUCUACUGCAAUCAUUCCUGCUGAGGAACCACCAAUUACGCACUUGCCACCCCCUGAGAUGCGUGCUUUGAUGAGCAUUUUGGUGAAUGUAUAGCGUCGUCGCAGGCAGCGUCAGGUAAUUUAGUGUCAAAAUUAUUUGUAAAUUUUUAAGGAUGUUUGAAUCAACUUUACAUGUGUUGGACCAAUGUGAAAUAGGUUUCAUUUUGUAUGUUGUUUUUAGUUGGAGGCCAGGAGUCUUCGCCGUUAUUGGGUUCACGCCAUAAAUCAGCUGCGUGACGACCGUGGUCAUAUUGGUCAUCUUUAUGCUGAGCUCAGACGUUAUCCGGAUAAAUUCUAUAACUUUGUCCGUAUGCCAAUGGAGGCAGUUGAUAAUCUUUUGGCCAUUGUUGGACCCCAUCUUCAGCGUUCCCACACACAUUUGCGCAAAGCAAUCUCACCAAUGGAGCGUCUGUUGAUCACCAUGAGAUUUCUGGUGACUGGGGAGAGUUAUGCCUCGUUACAUUUGCAAUUCCAUGUUGGCAAAUCAACCAUCAGCGGUAUUGUGAAGGAAACAUGCACCAUGAUUUGGCAGUACAUGCAGCCAAUUUCGUUGCCCAGUCCAAACCAGGAGAGAUGGCUUCAGGCUGC